UACGUAGGGUGCAAGCGUUAAUCGGAAUUACUGGGCGUAAAGCGUGCGCAGGCGGUUUUGUAAGACAGAGGUGAAAUCCCCGGGCUCAACCUGGGAACUGCCUUUGUGACUGCAAGGCUUGAGUGCGGCAGAGGGGGAUGGAAUUCCGCGUGUAGCAGUGAAAUGCGUAGAUAUGCGGAGGAACACCGAUGGCGAAGGCAAUCCCCCUGGGCCUGCACUGACGCUCAUGCACGAAAGCGUGGGGAGCAAACAGG
rnacentral:rRNA from 1 species